rnacentral:lncRNA from 10 species
UGUAAGGGAUGGGUGAAAAGACGCCAGUGAGCCUCCUGGAAGGGCAGCAAGUUCCCAGACAUUCGAAGAAUCAAGGUCCUGAAAGGAUGACCCAGCAGGGACAGGGCAGAGGGGACCCUGCCACAGCUGAGCGAUGGCCUAGAUGCUCGUUCUGGGUGCUGUCCCUUCUGGGACUCUAGCGAAACUGUUUUCCUCUCUAUUCAGAGUCUGCCAUUCAUUGGACUAUAAUGCCCCAUUUCAUCUGAUUGAUGACCCAAAUAGCUUCAAGUAGCUCUCCGCGGGUGGCCAGCCGCCCUGGAGGGUGUCCAGUUACAGGAGCUGAGCACACUGGACGCCUUUUCUCUUCCACAGUGGGCAAUGCACGGUGGGUCCCCCCUUGUCAGGAUUAAUGAGAGCUUUGGUUGCAGGGCCCCCCCGCCUGUUGCCACGUGACAGUCUCACAAGCUCACCCGGGAAGAGAGGAGAGAAGCCCAUCAGGUCACUGAAGUGGGCAGUAGAACCCAGGAGAGGAAGAAAGAAAGGAGAGAGGGGGGAAGUGGAUGCAGAGACAGAGCCAUUGAAAGUGUUUUCCAACAAUGGACUUGGAUCGGCUUCCCCUGCCCCUGCAGCAGGGAGCUCGCUGUGCCUGCACUGCUGCAGUACUGACAAAUUCAUCCCUGUCCAAGGAGAGUGAAGUGAAGGUCCGUGAGGCGAGACCUGCUGGCACUCAGGGUACGUGGGGCCUGGCCCCAUGUCCAAGUGCUCCCUCCUUACUGAGGAGUUGGGUUGCCAGGUGCAGCGGCAGUUUCUCUAAGCCACGUUCAGAGCUGAGUUACUGGGUUCUGUGUGAGAAGGGAGCCCACGCCCGAGCCUGUGGAACAGGUCUCGGCUGGAGCAGGUGGUCUGUGCCCCUCCUCACCCCAUCUGUCCUGGCUUGCUCUCACCUCGGCUUCCUGGCCUUCCCAGGGCCCUGGUCUCAUCCUCACCCUAAAGCAGGCCCCUCCACCUGAGGCGCCUUCGCACUGAGAUGCCCGCUGAUCUUCCCAGGACCCUCAUCUCCGUGGCUCUAAGCUGUUCACCUUCACCCUGGACCCCCAGGAGGGCAGUGGAUGAAGGACAAAGAGCAACAACUCUGCUGCCAGCACCAAAAAGCCCUCUGCUGACUCCCUCAAGUCCUCUUUUGCAGAUACCUACAAAGGGCCUUGAAAGAAAAAAGAACUAGAAUUACGAACAAAUCUCUGAUGUGGUGGCUGCUUUCAUUCUAGUCCCAUCGCCCCUGAAGACAGUUGGGAAGGACCUGCUUUUCCCCUGUAGCCCUGGGGGACACCUGCCCUAACAGCCCUGGUCCUCAGCUCCCAGAUGGGAUGGCUGGAAGUGGUGUGGCUCCAGGCCAUCUUCUCUCUGCAUAGGCAUGGGUUUUCAAACACAACCCUGGUGCCAUGCGUGCAAAGGGAAGGCGAUCUGCCAUCCUGUGGUUUUUGUCUUAGGAAGGUCCUCCCCACUGGAGUGAGCAUAAGGAUUCAAGGAUUAACAGGGGGAAGAGGAUAUGAAGCCCCGAUAGGGCGGUUUCAUCCUGGACAGAGAGCAACUUCAACUUUGGAGAAUGCUCUUGCAGAUGUCUACAGCUAUUUACAUCCUGAACCCUCUCCUUCUGCUCAUUUAUUAUUAUUAUUAUUACACAUUUUUGAGACAGAGUCUUGCCAUGUUGCCCAGGCUGGAGUGCAGUGGCUCAAUCUCUGCCUACUGCCACCUCCACCUCCCAGGUUCAAGAGAUUCUCCUGCCUCAGCCUCCUGAGUAGCUGGGAUUACUGGUACACGCCACCACGCCUGGGUAAUUUUUGUAUUUUUUGUGGAGAUGGGCU